CCUACGGGAGGCAGCAGUAAGGAAUAUUGGUCAAUGGGCGGAAGCCUGAACCAGCCAUGCCGCGUGCAGGAAGACGGCCCUAUGGGUUGUAAACUGCUUUUGUACCGGAAUAAACCCCCGAACGUGUUCGGGGCUGAAUGUACGGUAAGAAUAAGGAUCGGCUAACUCCGUGCCAGCAGCCGCGGUAAUACGGAGGAUCCGAGCGUUAUCCGGAUUUAUUGGGUUUAAAGGGUGCGUAGGCGGCCUGUUAAGUCAGGGGUGAAAGACGGUAGCUCAACUAUCGCAGUGCCUUUGAUACUGACGGGCUUGAAUGUACUUGAGGUAGGCGGAAUGUGACAAGUAGCGGUGAAAUGCAUAGAUAUGUCACAGAACACCAAUUGCGAAGGCAGCUUACUAAGGUAUGAUUGACGCUGAGGCACGAAAGCGUGGGGAUCAAACAGGAUUAGAUACCCUGGUAGUCCACGCCCUAAACGAUGAAUACUCGAUGUUGGCGAUAUACGGCCAGCGUCUAAGCGAAAGCGUUAAGUAUUCCACCUGGGGAGUACGCCCGCAAGGGUGAAACUCAAAGGAAUUGACGGCGNGAGAGNGCGAGACGACGACGAGGGAGGAGG
rnacentral:rRNA from 1 species